GUGCUCGCUUCAGCAGCAUAUAGUAAAAAAUUAGAACAAUACAGAGAAGAUCGGCAGGGCCCCUGUGCAAGGAUGACUGGCAAAUUCGUGAAGUGUUCCAUGGUUAA